rnacentral:rRNA from 1 species
AUACGGAGGAUGCGAGCGUUAUCCGGAUUUAUUGGGUUUAAAGGGAGCGUAGGCGGGCGCUUAAGUCAGUUGUGAAAGUUUGCGGCUCAACCGUAAAAUUGCAGUUGAUACUGGGUGUCUUGAGUACAGUAGAGGCAGGCGGAAUUCGUGGUGUAGCGGGGAAAUGCUUAGAUAUCACGAAGAACUCCGAUUGCGAAGGCAGCCUGCUGGACUGUAACUGACGCUGAUGCUCGAAAGUGUGGGUAUCAAACAGGAUUAGAUACCCUGGUAGUCCACACAGUAAACGAUGAAUACUCGCUGUUUGCGAUAUACAGUAAGCGGCCAAGCGAAAGCGUUAAGUAUUCCACCUGGGGAGUACGCCGGCAACGGUGAAACUCAAAUGAAUUGGCGGGG